CAGCAGCAGCAACAACAACAACAACAACAACAACUCUACCUUAAAAUAUACCAGAAUAAUACUACUAUUAAUAAUAUACGAUAUACAAAAGAUACCAGGGAGGUUGACAACAUAUGCACAAUAGCCAUAAAGUAUCAUUGUUGAAGGUACAUAGUGCCUACUAAAGAGGAAGAAAAAUUGCUGGGAAUCUGAAUAAUGAAUACAAAUGGGAAAGCGUAGACAAAAGGAAAUGAGAUGGGCUACUCUCUAUAUAGAGAAGAACACUUCAAACAACCCUUUGGAAUAGAAGAGCAAGCAGAAAGAACAAUGAACAAACACAUGCACAAGGAAAUUCCCUAUGGAGGAAACAAAUACAAUUCAGUAUGGAGGACUGUCACCCAGAUGACAAGCAGAGACAUCGCAAGCAUGGGAGAAUUCCUUAAGGUGAAUUUGAGGUCUGUACGUAGGACGCCAGUAAGGACCUCUGUGCCAAUGAACUGUCAUUUAAUCUUUAUGCAUCAGUGUCAGCACUGCUUUAAUUUCAAAUCUGAGUUGUACACAAUGUCAUUCAGCAUGGAAGAGCCUUCACAAAAGAGCUGAGGGUGCUGAUUCUGCUUUUUGGCUUAGGAACCCAUAGCGAGGGAAAUGUGGGGGGGACGACAAGUUGAUUGCAACAGCAAUAUUAGUGCUUAGUUGCUUUCCCACCCAUGGGGAUGGUUCAUUGGGGAUGGGUUGGUGCUCCUGGUAUAAACACUUAAAUGGGUGGUUGUUGUUACUCAAAGAAAUCAUGGUGGUGUACAUAGAUGCUUUCCCAUUUCAUUCUUUUUUUUAAAA